rnacentral:rRNA from 1 species
UACGGGGGGAGCAAGCGUUGUUCGGAUUUACUGGGCGUAAAGGGCGCGUAGGCGGUCAGCACAAGUCAGUUGUGAAAUCUCCGGGCUUAACUCGGAAAGGUCAACUGAUACUGUGCGACUAGAGUGCGGAAGGGGCAACUGGAAUUCCCGGUGUAGCGGUGAAAUGCGCAGAUAUCGGGAGGAACACCGGUGGCGAAGGCGCCGCUCUGGGCCGAAACUGACGCUGAGGAGCGAAAGCGUGGGGAGCAAACAGG